AAGUCUGACGGAGCAACGCCGCGUGAGUGAUGAAGGUUUUCGGAUCGUAAAGCUCUGUUGUUAGGGAAGAACAAGUGCAAGAGUAACUGCUUGCACCUUGACGGUACCUAACCAGAAAGCCACGGCUAACUACGUGCCAGCAGCCGCGGUAAUACGUAGGUGGCAAGCGUUGUCCGGAAUUAUUGGGCGUAAAGGGCUCGCAGGCGGUUUCUUAAGUCUGAUGUGAAAGCCCCCGGCUCAACCGGGGAGGGUCAUUGGAACUGGGAAACUUGAGUGCAGAAGAGGAGAGUGGAAUUCCACGUGUAGCGGUGAAAUGCGUAGAGAUGUGGAGGAACACCAGUGGCGAAGGCGACUCUCUGGUCUGUAACUGACGCUGAGGAGCGAAAGCGUGGGGAGCGAACAGGAUUAGAUACCCUGGUAGUCCACGCCGUAAACGAUGAGUGCUAAGUGUUAGGGGGUUUCCGCCCCUUAGUGCUGCAGCUAACGCAUUAAGCACUCCGCCUGGGGAGUACGGUCCAAGACUGAAACUCAAAGGAAUUGACGGGGGCCCGCACAAGCGGUGGAGCAUGUGGUUUAAUUCGAAGCAACGCGAAGAACCUUACCAGGUCUUGACAUCCUCUGACAACCCUAGAGAUAGGGCUUUCCCUUCGGGGACAGAGUGACAGGUGGUGCAUGGUUGUCGUCAGCUCGUGUCGUGAGAUGUUGGGUUAAGUCCCGCAACGAGCGCAACCCUUGAUCUUAGU
rnacentral:rRNA from 1 species